CCGCCGGUCAGGACAUCGGAGAGGGCUUCCGCAGCCGAGGGCUGCGGGGUGCUCCCGGGGUCCGACGAUGGGGUUCCACCCUCCGCCGGCGGG
rnacentral:tRNA from 1 species